rnacentral:tRNA from 1 species
ACAUGUAGAAAUGACUAUGGCAGACUAGCGGACGGGGGUUCGAUUCCCCCCGGCUCCACCA